AAUUCUCAACUUAUAAAUCCUUGUGAUCUAUAAGCUUGGACUUGGAGGCUUGCUGGCCCUUGCGGUCGGCUCCUCUUGAAUGCAUUAGCUCGAUUCCGUACGGAUCGGCUCUCAGUGUGAUAAUUGUCUACGCUGUGACCGUGAAGUGUUUUGGCGAGCUUCUAACCGUCCAUUAGGACAACUUUUUAAC
rnacentral:misc_RNA from 1 species